GCGGGUAUAGUUCAGUGGUAGAACGUCAGCUUCCCAAGUUGAAUGUCAUGGGUUCGAAUCCCAUUACCCGCU
rnacentral:tRNA from 1 species